UGACUACUCUUUUUCCUCAGU
rnacentral:miRNA from 1 species